rnacentral:lncRNA from 1 species
AAAUCUCAAUUGCCAUUUUUAGUUUAAAAGAAACUUGCUGCAAACUUUGAAGGUCUCGUAGUAAUCCUAUCCUACGGUAUAUGUUCUGGAACCUAUGAACAGGAUCUUGCUCACUCUAAGAUAUCAGAGAGCGAGGUUUGCCAAGAUCCUAGGGUAUAUAUUCUGGAAUCGAUAGUGGCCAUAUGGUUGGACAUACCUUCGAGUGCUGGGUUGCUUCAAGGAUAUGUCGAGCCGAUGAA